CAGCAGCCGCGGGAAAACGAAGGGGGCUAGCGUUGCUCGGAAUCACUGGGCGUAAAGGGUGCGUAGGCGGGUCUUUAAGUCAGGGGUGAAAUCCUGGAGCUCAACUCCAGAACUGCCUUUGAUACUGAAGAUCUUGAGUUCGGGAGAGGUGAGUGGAACUGCGAGUGUAGAGGUGAAAUUCGUAGAUAUUCGCAAGAACACCAGUGGCGAAGGCGGCUCACUGGCCCGAUACUGACGCUGAGGCACGAAAGCGUGGGGAGCAAACAGGAUUAGAUACCCGUGUAGUCCCUGUCUCUUAUAC
rnacentral:rRNA from 1 species